GCACAGCCAGACACCAUGCAAAAGUAAAGACUUCCUUUUAAAGUGAAUGAUACACUUUUUUCAUAGUGUAUCAUUAUUAAAAGUGAUCACAAAU
rnacentral:snoRNA from 1 species